rnacentral:rRNA from 1 species
GUGCCAGCCGCCGCGGUAAUACGGAGGGUGCAAGCGUUGUCCGGAAUCACUGGGCGUAAAGGGUGCGCAGGCGGGGCAGCAAGUCGGAGGUGAAAGCCCGUGGCUCAACCACGGAAGUGCCUUCGAAACUGUUGCUCUUGAGUCCCGGAGAGGUUGCCGGAAUUCGUGGUGUAGCGGUGAAAUGCGUAGAUAUCACGAGGAACACCAGUGGCGAAAGCGGGUAACUGGACGGGUACUGACGCUGAGGCACGAAAGCGAGGGGAUCGAACAGGAUUAGAUACCCCUGUAGUCC